rnacentral:ncRNA from 1 species
UAUAUUUGCCCGUCUAAUAAUCAAAUUAUUAGCUACAUAAUAAUUAUUUACAAUAAUAUUGGCAUG